rnacentral:rRNA from 1 species
UAGGGAAUCUUCGGCAAUGGACGAAAGUCUGACCGAGCAACGCCGCGUGAGUGAAGAAGGUUUUCGGAUCGUAAAACUCUGUUGUUAGCGAAGAACAAGGACGUUAGUAACUGAACGUCCCCUGACGGUAUCUAACCAGAAAGCCACGGCUAACUACGUGCCAGCAGCCGCGGUAAUACGUAGGUGGCAAGCGUUGUCCGGAUUUAUUGGGCGUAAAGCGAGCGCAGGCGGUUUCUUAAGUCUGAUGUGAAAGCCCCCGGCUCAACCGGGGAGGGUCAUUGGAACCUGGGAGACUUGAGUGCAGAAGAUGAGAGUGGAAUUCCAUGUGUAGCAGUGAAAUGCGUAGAUAUAUGGUGGAACACCAGUGGCGAAGGCGGCACUCUGGUCUAUAACUGACGCUGAGGCUAGCAAGCGUGGGGAGCAAGCAAG